UCAAGUGUCCCUGAGAAAUCAUCAAAGUGUUUUCUUGUGCUAUUCUUUUCCUUCUUCUCGUGUUAUAUUGGUCAAAACAGAGAUCCCAGGAGAUGCUGCUCCAGAAUCCAGGUCUUCACCUGCUACUCCACCUCCAGCCACUUUGGAGGCCUCCCUCACAUUGCCUUCUUCUGUCUUGGCGUCUGAGGAAGCUUUUCUUCCUGUCGCCUCCACAAUCUGCUGACACUCUCUGUGGGAGGAGGUCCAAAGUGUCUCUUGGCAGCUGUGUUGCCAUGCUUUUUAGCAUAUUUACUAACAUUUAGCUU